AAAUUGAAGAGUUUGAUCAUGGCUCAGAUUGAACGCUGGCGGCAGGCCUAACACAUGCAAGUCGAACGGUAACAGGAAACAGCUUGCUGUUUCGCUGACGAGUGGCGGACGGGUGAGUAAUGUCUGGGAAACUGCCUGAUGGAGGGGGAUAACUACUGGAAACGGUAGCUAAUACCGCAUAAUGUCGCAAGACUAAAGAGGGGGACCUUCGGGCCUCUUGCCAUCGGAUGUGCCCAGAUGGGAUUAGCUAGUAGGUGGGGUAACGGCUCACCUAGGCGACGAUCCCUAGCUGGUCUGAGAGGAUGACCAGCCACACUGGAACUGAGACACGGUCCAGACUCCUACGGGAGGCAGCAGUGGGGAAUAUUGCACAAUGGGCGCAAGCCUGAUGCAGCCAUGCCGCGUGUA
rnacentral:rRNA from 1 species